UACAGAGGGUGCGAGCGUUGUUCGGAAUUAUUGGGCGUAAAGCGCUUGUAGGCGGCACGUCAAGUCGCGUGUGAAAUCCCCAGGCUUAACCUGGGAAGUGCGCGCGAAACUGACGAGCUUGAGUGCCGGAGAGGGUCGCGGAAUUCCUGGUGUAGCGGUGGAAUGCGCAGAUAUCAGGAGGAACACCGAUGGCGAAGGCAGAUCUCUGGGCCGUAACUGACGCUGAGGAGCGAAAGCAUGGGGAGCGAACAGG
rnacentral:rRNA from 1 species